rnacentral:lncRNA from 1 species
AUAUCUGACUAUCUUCAGAGAUUUUGAGUCAAUCCUUAUACCUAAUCAGUCUUUGAAUCAUACGCUAUUAUAACUUAUCAUACAUCAGAAGGCUGAUCUUUUUUCGAGCCCCACGUGAUGGGCUAAACCGAUCCGUAGGUCGCACUGAGCUCCGCUUGUCCGACCUGUCGCUGACUUCAGAUGGUUCACUCUGGGGGAUCUUCUAGCCUUCUUCCUAGCCACCGACCUCUACCACAGUCAACCAAUAGAUAAACUGGUCCAGAUGUACCGGCCGAUCCUUUUGGCCAAUAGCAUCCGACGAUGAGGACAUUCAUAAGCUCUUGGACUUUGGUGCACUGGACAAUGACCAUCCAUUUAAAAUAUGGGUUAAGACACGCCAAUUAUGAUUUUUGUUUGUAUGAGUCAGAUCAGGGUACGCCCUUGUACAUCAUUAUCCCACCUGCGACCCAUGCACUAGAUAGACUCACAUCACAUGCUCCCCUGAUUGACUACAUGCCACAUAGCUCUGUGUUAUGGGAUAGUCGGAAUGAC